rnacentral:tRNA from 1 species
GCCUCGGUAGUGUAAUGGAUGAGCACGACAGACCGGAUAUCUGUAAGUGCGGGUUCGAGUCUCACCUGAGGUA